UAGCAAUAGCUAAUUGCACCAACAAACAGUUGAUGCAAAAUCGACUAUGUUGAAUAAAAUUCUAGGUAGAAUUAUGAUAAUGACAUUGUCUGCCUAUGUGUCUUGACCAAAUUACGUGCCAGCCGUCGCGGUAAUACGUAGAAGACUAGUGUUAUUCAUCUUUAAUAGGUUUAAAGGGUACCUAGACGGUAAAUCAAGCCUUAACGAGGGACUAUUUUACUAGAGUUUAAUAUGAGGGGGCUUUAAAGUACUAAUGGUGUAGAGAUGAAAUUCUGUCAUACCCCUUUUCGAUGGAAGAAAGAUGGCACUGGUAUAGGCGAAAGCAUCCUCUUAUGCUAUAACUGACGUUGAAGGACGAAGG
rnacentral:rRNA from 1 species